AUCGAUCACCUGAUAGUCUAAUAACUGAGAUUAUCAUUUUCCUUUGUUUAUGAUAAAGUGCAGCACUCCGCCUUGCCUACCCCGCCCGGGAUCGCUCAUCGCUCUCUGUCUCUUCUUCUUCUGCUUCUUCUCUAUAAAAUAAUCCAAAAUCCAACAAUGAGGAAGCUCCAACAUUCCCCCAUUACUCCUCGCCCCUUCCUCCUACUCACCAUGGCCGCACUACUCUCCAUCCCCCUCCUCUUCUUCCUCCUCCCCGCCUCCCUCCCCUUCCCCGCCGCCGCCCAGUCCUCUGCCAUCUCCCUCGCAUGCCGCGCCACGCGCUUCGACUCCUCCUGCCUCGACGCCCUUUCACGUUCCUCCGACCUCCCUCCCUCCCCCUCCUCCCUCGACUUACUCAAGGCAACAUUGCUCGCCCCCCUCGACGCCCUCCCCUCCGCCCGUUCCCAGGCCGCCUCCAUCCUCGCCUCUUCUACAGCCGCCCGCGCCUCCGCUGCUAGGAACUGCAUCGACCAUCUCGCCCUCUCCCAACGCCGCCUCUCAGACGCCUCCAAUUCCCUCUCCGAAGGCCGCACUGCCGACGCCCGCACCUGGGCCGGUGCCGCCCUGCUUUACCAGUACGACUGCUGGUCGGCCCUCAAGUACGUCAAUUCCUCCCGCCGCGUGGCAGAUGCUAUGGCCGCGCUACUCGAUCUGACAGCCCUCACCAGCAACGCCCUUUCCAUGAUCGCCGCCCUUCAGCGAUUCGGCCACGAUGUAUCCCUUUGGGCGCCGCCGCAAACCGAGCGCGACGGAUACUGGGGCGACGCCCCAGCCUCCUCCGCCCUCCGAUCCGGCGGUGGCGCUAGCUCCCUCAUUUCCACCUUCCCCAUCGACCGCCCACCCAAUGCCACCGUCUGCAAGACCGGAUCUUGCGACUACCGAACAGUCCAGGAAGCGGUCGACGCCGCGCCUGAUUUGUCAUCGGACCGAUUCGUGAUCCGCAUCGAAGCAGGCGUUUACGAGGAGACGGUUCGCAUUCCCUUCGAGAAGACCAAUCUGGUGUUCAUAGGGGACGGGAUGGGGGUCACCGUCGUUACCAGCUCACUAAGCGUUGGUCAAAACCAGGGCGUCCUCACUACCUACGACUCCGCCACCGUUGCUGUCUUCGGCGACAAUUUCGCCGCUCGCGACCUCACCUUUGAGAACAGCGCUGGCGUCGGCGCCCACCAGGCGGUCGCCUUCCGCUGCGACAGCGACCGCUCCGUGCUCGAAUCGGUGGAGUUCAGGGGACAUCAGGACACACUGUACGCCCGUUCUCUGCGCCAGCUCUAUCGCAGAUGCCGCAUUACUGGAACGUUGGACUUCAUCUUUGGGAACUCGGCGGCGGUGUUCGAUCGUUGUAGCAUCGAGGUGGUGCCGCGCGCUGAAGGGCUGACGAAAGCCGGAAGCAACCCGGUAGCGGCCCAUGGGCGGACCGAUCCGGCUCAAGCCACGGGGUUCGUGUUCAAUAGGUGCUCGAUCAAUGGGAGCGCGGACUACCUGGCGGCGUACGAGAGGAAGCCAGGGGCGCAUCGGGCGUACCUUGGGCGGCCGUGGAAGGAGUACUCAAGGACGGUGUAUGUGAAUUGCUAUAUGGGCGAGGUUGUGAUGCCCGAGGGGUGGUUGCCAUGGAAGGGAAACUUUGCGUUGAGCACGCUGUUCUACGGGGAGUAUGGGAGUUGGGGACCGAGGGCUAGUGCGGCAACCAGGGUGAACUGGAGCUCCCAAGUACCGGAGGAGCAUGUGGGUGUUUACUCUCUAGACAAUUUCAUUCAAGGGAAUGAAUGGGUUCCAUCUGAGCAGUAAAGGAUUUAUGGAUUGGGAACUGCUGGUGAGCAACUUGUGAUGGUUUCUAGAUUUCAGGGAAUUUGAUGAGAUGAACACUGGGUCCGUUCUGUACUGACAAAGAUUGAUUGGGUUGUAUACUGAGAUUGUGCUUGAGAGUUUUGGAAUGUAUCUUGGUGGUCUUUGAGCACCGUGUUUGACCCUUAUCCUAGGGUAUUUAUUGGUGUAGAGUUGUUAGGACAAGUAAGUUACUGGGUACCUCAGAUGUCACUUUUAAGCAACAACACAUGUGAAGCGAAUUCUAGAGGAACCUGAGUUUUCAAGAAAAUCUUUAAGAUGUUUGUAUUCUUCUCAACUCUGGAAACAACCUCUUGCAAAAAAAAACAGGAUAAGGUUGCGUACAAUGGAUCUUGACCCCACAUAGCGGGAGCUUCGUGCACCAGACUUCCGAGUAUUCUUCUUAACUCUUGGUAACAAUAGAGGAUAUUGGAGAUGAGUUAAUAAGGUGAUAGCAUAUUAGCAAUUUUUGUAGUAAAGUGGCACUCAAACUUCUGCCAACAUUUGUUAAAUGGUUUGUGUGACACCAUAGUGGACAAUGUGUGGCUAAAAGUUUUGUCAGCAAUCACAACCCCAGCCACAUUCAUCCAUAGGAAACAACCUUUGAAGAAGUGGAUGGUGGCUUCCACCAUCUAUUAUGUUGACCGAUAUUACCAUAUCAUAUAGUGAAGAUCCAUGCGAUGGUGGAUUAUGGAGUUCCAAGUAGCAACUUGAAGUUACUAUGAAUGUGAUUAUAUAUACGUAUAUAAUUAAAAACUCUUGAGACUGGCUAUAUUGAAUAAUAACAAGUGCAUCUGUCUUUCCCAUGUCUAUAACAUGUAUGUACAUACCAUAUUGAAAGAUCUUGCAGUUGUUUGUAAUAUGUCAAAUAAAUUUAUAUCUAUUUAUAACAUCUUGUAAGAUUGAAUAUGAAUCUCUUAUACAAAAUCUGAAUAAGGUUUAGCAAAACCUAAUUUUCAUGGGAGAUUUGAAAUAUGAUAAUAAAUGAUUGUGGUUCAUUUCAAACAGUAUUUAAAAUUCAAUAUAGGAGAAUAUCAAUUCAAAUAUUCCCUAAUACUUGGGCAUUAACCUGAUCAACAACAUAUUUAAACUUCAAUACAUGGAAUUAAAUUAAAUAAACAUUUCAAACAAUUUCAUUUUAUUUAUUUUUUAUCAAUAACCACUAGCAACUAGUAGAUUGAAACAAUUUUUAAUGAAUCCAGAAUGUUUUUUGCCUGUAAUAUUGCACAUCUUAUCUUCUUUGCUGGCGUGCUCAAAAUUUUAGUUUUAAUCAUAUUUUGACAAUUUUUAGCACCUUUUUUCACCCUUAUCCUACGGAAAUGAUAUAAAUUUGUUACAGAAGAAGAGGCUUGAUGCUGGGUGAUUGAGAUAUCGCUAGAUGCAUGAGAAAUAAAUAAACUGGAUCCCCAAAUGUCAUUUUGCAAGCAAUAACAUGAGUAAAGGGGUACCUACUAAAUUAGAGAAACCUGGGUUUUCUAGAAAACCUUCAAAAUGUUAGUAUUCUUCUAGACAGUCGUUAAAAAAAGAGAGCAUUGGAGCUGGAUCAAAAGGUGGUGCAUAGUUGCACUAGAUAUAGUAAAGUGACACUCAAACUUCUCCCAACAUCACUCUGUUGGAUGGUUGGUGUGACACCAUUGUAGACAAAUGUGGUAAAGUGUUUGCUUAGUGAUCACAAGCAGGAUUGCACUCUCAUCCAACUGUAAAGAAUAGAACCUUUGCUGUAGUGGAUGGUGGCUUCCACCAUCUUUUCCUUUUCUUUGUUUUUGUGAGAACUCAUUACUAGAUUGAAUGAUAGCUAAUAGAGAGACCAUGAGGAAAGAGACCUCCUUGGCAAUCCACUAAGUCCAUCUGUUAUGUUGACCACAUUUGGUACAGCGAGGGUAGAUAGUGAAGAUUCAGUGUGAGGGUGGAUUAUGCUGUUAGGGUCCAAAUAGCAGCUUCAAGUUAACAUGAGUAACAGAUUAUCUUUUUUUUGUUGUUGAAAACUCUUGUUACUAGGUUGAAUGAUAGCUAACAAAGAGGAAACCAGACCUACUUGACAAAAGCACAAAGCAGCACAAAGUGCAAAAAGAUGAGCCAUGAGGAUGAAGCCCACCAAGCAUGUAAUUUAGAGAGGCUAUGGUUGUGUCAUUCUUGAUGCAAAAGGUGAAUACGUUCGCCUCCAACGUUCCCGCCAAUCCAUCUUAGGAUCAAUACGGAGGAGGACGUAGAUGAUGAUGAUGCAGAUGGACAAGAGGAAGAUUGCUACGUCGAUGGUGAGUGCGGUCAUGGCCUGGUCGGUAAGCUCAAUGUUCUUGCUGCUGAGGUGGUCGACGGUGAGACGGAGACGAUGGCAUUUGGUUCGUGCUUGCUUUGACACGAAGAGACUUGCAGGUUUAGUUGGGGGGUUUAGUUGGGGUCCGAGUCAUUCAGCUCGCAUGGAUCAACAUAACCCAAGCACUAUGGAUGGUAUUGGUAAGGAUAUGUCAAUGUGGCCAGCUCGGGUCUCUAAAUGAAUAUGGUGUUCAUGAAUAAACUACUCGGUUGUCUAUUCGAUGUUUUAAAAUAAAUUAAAGAAGUUUAAACACUGUUAAAUUGACUUUAUUAGCAUUUAUAAAUAUUAAUUGUGAAUGAUUCAUAAAA